CAUUACGGAUUGAAUCUGCCCAGUCUGGAAAGCAGAAUCACAUUCCUACCUGACAACAGGGAUUUUGAAAGGGAAGGGAUGAGCAAAAGGUAAUUCCAAAGAAGAACAGAAAAACAUGCUGAAGAGAAAAACAUUAAAGGUCUGCUCCAAAGCCUAAAAAAACUGAUGUCAAGGGGAGGUUUUGUUUUCCUCCUUUCAAUAGACAUCAGAUCGUGUCCCUCCCUGGAGGACAGUUUCCAAAUGUGGCUGUUCUAAUGAAGCAUUGAGAAUCUGCAUUUGGAGGCUGGAAUUUCACAGUGAUUGCAGCCCCCCAGAUCACUUUAUCUCACCAAUAGAUCACAUUCUUCUAGGGUCACUCUCUUCCACUACAGUUGCAGCCCAAAAUUCGGCCCCUGUUUGGGCUCAGGGAGUCAUCGAGGUGGGGAAGGCUGCUGCAAGGAUGAAAUCACAGGCACGAGUCGGAGCGCGCGUCCCCGGAUUGCCGAGAUGACGCCCUUCUUUGCAGAGCUUUAUGUUCCUGCCAUCAAAAUCAGGAAUCUGCAUAGCAACACUCAGCUCCGCGUUGCAGCCACCCAAAUCUGAAGAAAAACCCCCAACAAAUAAUUACCCAUUUACAAAUUAAGAGAGCAGCAAAAGAAAAGGAACGGGAGCGUGUUAAGCUGUCACGUUCAAUUUAAAGAAAUAUAGAUUGGGGGCUCUGUUUCAAAAUAACACUUUUUCAUCUCUGUGCAGUGGAAAUUUCUUCACAGGGGGCAAUGUGCUAGCAUAGAUGUACAUGCACACAAAGAGAAGUGGAGUAAUUCCAUUCUCACAAAAAAUUUAGAGAAUUGGAUUCAAAUCCUAUCUAGGUCACAAAUGAAAUGUAGUCAGCAACCUACAAACAGGGGAAAAAUGAAAGAAAAAGACAAAAUCCCAGCCCAGUGCCACACAACUCAGCAGUCUGCAAUUCCUGGUCAUGAGAGGCCACAGCAUUAGCCAGGCAGGGUGUUACAGGUCAGGAUUAAGACGCAUUAACAAAUUCAUGUGGAGGAAGCUGGCCCAGCACCUGCCCACAAUUUGCCAAUUCAUUUUGUCCCCCUUCCAUGUGAAUCAAAUUCUCUUUUUCUACUUGGAGGAUGAUUUUUUUUUUUUUUAAAUAAUGUUAUACUGGGUAAAAUGUACAUCCCCAAGCUGUGAAAAGCAUUUUAACUCAAAAUCUACACAGGAGCAAGAGCAAUGUAAUUAUUGUUCUUAUACUGUGAAUGAUACCAAUGUAAAAAUGCUCAAAGACAUGUAUGUGAACAUCCACACACUGAGAAAUGACAGUAAACUGUAUCUAUUCUGGUUCUAAGACACAUUGCAAAUUCAGUAAACUCUAAAAAAAAAAAAAACCUCACCACACAAAUACAAACCCAGAAAUCUACAUCUGCACAAUGGAAAAUAUUCUGAGCACAAACCCAUUGCGGGAGCAGUAAAUUCAGGGUUAAGUCUCUGGAUUCUUGUCUGAUACUCUCAGCCUUUCAUCAUGUCUCUAUGAAUUUUUAUUUCUGUACUCUGGGGUAAAUUAAGGCUGAUGGUGUCAGUACGGGGUUUUGAGUCCGAUUUCAACAUUUCUCAUGUUUCGCCUGUUUAACUCAGGCCCUUUAAGUUUGGUUUUUCAACAAUUUAGGAGGAAGGCUUGGGGGCUUUCUAAUCCUCUUUCAAAAUACCAUAUUUUCCAGGAGGCUAUUCCCCACCGAGCUCGCCCCCAACACGUUGUGUCAAGGCAGUAGCCAUUUUCCCGGGCCGAACAAACUCCUCAGUCCUGGAGAGCUGAUGGUGAACAAACCCCAAGAGCAGGAGCACCCUGAGGCUGCAGAGACCCUGAACUCCUGCAUCUCCCCACUCCUGAAAAAAGCAUCACCCCAGAACCCUCCAGGAAAAGCCUGAUGUGUUUGAGAUUAAGAACGUGCUGUGUCUGGGAUUAAAGCAGAACACGUUUGCAGCCCUCGCAGUGCUAACCAACCAGAGGAGUUAUCUGGUACAGGAUUCAUGUGAUUGCUUGAAUAAUAUUCCAGGAGCCGCCGCGUCCCUUCCUCCCCGCAUGCACAGCCCUCGAUGCAGGCACACACAUGGUAUUUCUAAUAGGAUCUCUUCUCCCCUCUCUCUCUCCCCCGCUUUCACAAUCUGUCGCUCUCCAAUCUGCCCACUCUGCUCUAUUUUCCCAUCCAAUAUUCCCCCUCUAACACCUUCCCCUCCUCUUCAGCCCCCACCCUUGCUCUCUCUCCCCCUCCUCCAGGCUCUGCUAUCAGUCACCUUAGCCCUGGUGCUGAGUUUUGGGUCUCUGGACAUUGAAAGCAUUUAGCAGUGUGAUUAAAAAGAAGCAAUAAAACAAAAAGAAAUUUCUCCCCUACUACUAGCAUGUAAACAAUGUGGUAACUAACUGGCCCCUCUAAUAAUUUGGUGCCUAAAAUAAUUUUCCUUUUCUUUUUUUUUUUUUUUUUUGCUGGACUAUGUUAUUAAUUUUUUAUCUCACUUGGUGCUAUUUUAUCAGAAACUUUACAAACAAGUUCACCAUUGCUACCUCCUCUUUGUGGAGGGGAAGAAACAGCAGAGGGAAGGGAAAGGCUCAGUCAGAGCUCCCCAGCAGGCUGGUAGUGUAGCCUGAAAUAAAUGAGGUCUCCUGGGUUCCAGUGCAGUGGUCUAACCAUUAGUCUCUGACUAAGAAACAAAUGCAGAGAGGCCAGAAAAUGUGUAAAUUAAAGCAACACUUCGCUUUUCCUUGUAGUCUGUAGAAUAAUUACAAGAUGCAGAUGUAGCUAGAGAUGCCUGAGGCUCUGGUGAUCCCAGGGAUACAUUUCUAAGAUCAGGCUUCUCCUCCAGACCAUCCUGCUGCUCUUAGGUGCUGCAGGAACUAUUCACUCUGGCUGAAAUGUGACCCUAACCUGGACAGCACGGGGCACAAACGCAUCUGAGCACAGCAAUUGGUUUAAGGAGUUCAGGGGAAGCAUCAGGCUUUAUCUAGGCCUGGCAGGA